GGGGUUUGUUCUGUGACUGGUAGGAUGGUGGCAUUCCAAGCACGUGAUGUUGGCACGAGUUUCCCUGCCUUUGCCACGUGUUCUUUUAUUUCGAGCUCAAGUUCUGCUGGCUUGUUCUUGUUCAGUCGGAGUAAACAUGGACAGAAACCACGGACAAGAUCAAAAUGUUCGGUCAACAAGUUGACAAUAUCUACCUUGACCGUCAGAAAGCGAAUGAAGAGGACAGUCGCGUGGCGCAGAAGAAAAAGAACCAAAAUUUAUUAGGUCAAAGAAAAAUUAUGAUCUUUAUGCCACUGAAUUAGCCAUGUAUUGCAGCGUCUCUAUGGCAAGCUCACCCAGUAUACUAAUUCCUUAUCUUGCUUAAUAGGGACGAAUUUCACAUUCGGCCUACAAGACCAUUGGAAUGGUGGGAAUUAGGUGGUGACAUUUUGGGAGGGAGAGAUGAGGUUGCUGGUGGGACAUGGCUCGCUUGUAGCAGGGAUGGACGGGUGGCUUUCCUCACAAAUGUCAGGGAAGUUCAGAAGCUUCCAGAGGCCAAGAGUAGAGGGAAUCUCCCAGCCCGGUUCUUGAAUGCGAUUGGUUUGAUCAAAUUUUGGCACCCACUCCCCCUGUUUGAUCUGUUCUCUGUGUGAAUGAUUUAAAGGGUUCUAGAGACAUGCAUGUUGAUUCGAACAUAUGGGUUUUGCCGUGUACUUCAGUGGACAAAGACGCGCUAGCCUCACGAUACCCAAAAACACUGGUCAUGAGCUUUUUUAAUCGCCCCCAUAAUCAUUUAUAUAUAUUACUCCCAGCAAGAUAGUAUAAUAUUUUAUACAAUAUAGAGUAGCGUUGUCGUUGCAGGAAGUCGUUUGGUUUCGUAAGAAGUCAUUUAUGAUCUACAAUCUGUAAAUCGUUAUCCAUAGAGAACUUAUCAAAAACAAUGUCAACCAUAGAGAACUGAUCUCAUUUUCAUUU